rnacentral:pre_miRNA from 1 species
CUUACAGAGUUCAUUGGCAUUCUGUCCACCUCCUGAUCUUAAUUUCUUUCACUUGUCAUCUUUCAUGGAGGUGGGCAUACUGCCAACAGUGCUCUGUUGG